GCUUUGUCCAUCUGAGUGUUCAGGAGUUUCUGGCUGCUCUUCAUGUCCAUCUGACCUUCACCAACUCUGGAGUUAAGCUGCUGCCAGAAGAACAAUCCACACCC